rnacentral:misc_RNA from 1 species
UUGACACCGUGACUUUGGAAAAGUCUACUAAUGACAUGUUGAUUUGUCCAAUACAUACGGCAUCCUCACCACAGGGAGUCAAAUUCUUUGUAAACGUAAACUGAAAUAAAAUACUUUUUUGGCAUCUCUGUAAAUGAAAUUACAC